UGCCAGCAGCCGCGGUAAUACGUAGGGGGCAAGCGUUAUCCGGAAUCACUGGGUGUAAAGGGUGCGUAGGCGGUACAAUAAGUCAGAUGUGAAAACCAAGGGCUCAACCUUUGGACUGCAUUUGAAACUAUUGAACUAGAGUAUGGGAGAGGAAAGUGGAAUUCCUAGUGUAGCGGUGAAAUGCGUAGAUAUUGGGAGGAACACCAGUAGCGAAGGCGACUUUCUGGAACAUAACUGACGCUGAGGCACGACAGCGUGGGGAGCGAACAGGAUUAGAUA
rnacentral:rRNA from 1 species